ACUCCUACGGGAGGCAGCAGUAGGGAAUCUUCCACAAUGGGCGCAAGCCUGAUGGAGCAACACCGCGUGAGUGAAGAAGGGUUUCGGCUCGUAAAGCUCUGUUGUUAAAGAAGAACACGUAUGAGAGUAACUGUUCAUACGUUGACGGUAUUUAACCAGAAAGUCACGGCUAACUACGUGCCAGCAGCCGCGGUAAUACGUAGGUGGCAAGCGUUAUCCGGAUUUAUUGGGGCGUAAAGAGAGUGCAGGCGGUUUUCUAAGUCUGAUGUGAAAGCCUUCGGCUUAACCGGAGAAGUGCAUCGGAAACUGGAUAACUUGAGUGCAGAAGAGGGUAGUGGAACUCCAUGUGUAGCGGUGGAAUGCGUAGAUAUAUGGAAGAACACCAGUGGCGAAGGCGGCUACCUGGUCUGCAACUGACGCUGAGACUCGAAAGCAUGGGUAGCGAACAGGAUUAGAUACCCUGGUAGGAUAGCG
rnacentral:rRNA from 1 species